GUCCCGCUAAUACAAGCAAUAUAUACGUAAGCAAUCAUUGUUAAGAAAUCUUUAAAUAACUGACGUCUACUUUCAUGUAUCAUUUUUAGAGCCUUCUAAGGCAUACUCCAUUGUGAAAAUGUACGGAAUAAAAGGCGACUUCAUUUGCUGAUGUUUUGCAGAGCCACAACCUCACAUCGGUGGGGGGGUGUAAUGUCAGCAACUUUGCCAAGAAACAGCUCAUCUCCACGGAAUGUGGCCCAAGAAGAGCCCAGUUAGAUAUGUCGAAUAGUCAUACUUCCCUUCCUCCAUGGGUGUGUCCUGCUUCCUUACAAGGUGAAUUCAUCAUUCAAAGUCAUCCCCACCUGGCAGUUCCUCCAUCCAUCCGUCCAUCCAUCCAUCUACCGAUGUCUGGAUGACACAUCAAAGCACGUGAUCAUCAUGAGAUGAGCUUUGCAGAAGUUCACUCUGGUCUCCAGUUUGUCCGUUACUGUUUCCAGAGCUUCCAGAUACUCCAGAGAGUCCACAUCGUAGACCUGCUGCAGCUCAACUGGACCACCAGAGAAGAAAGGAAGAGCACCUCUUUCUUCAACCACUGGUACUUUGCUCGGACUUCGCUGAUACGCUGCUGACGGUUCUCCAACAGGCGGAGUUUACCGACGUACACCAUCUCCUAAUACACACAGACAUACAAAGCGUUCAACAUCGUCAAUCUCGUACACCUUGAUCUCAAAGGUCUCCGUUGUGGCCGCUGUACCUCGGAGGUUUGUGGAAGCAGGUGGCCCCAGAGGGCCAUCUACCCAGCAUGCACCUGGGCUCGAGGAGGAGGAAGACGAGGACGUCAUGGCCUGUUUGGUGGUGCGAUGAGGAGACGUGGAGGAAGAGGAUGAGGAGUCCAAGGUGCGAGGCCUUAGUCCUGUGCAGAGGAUGAGAGGCGAUGCUUCCUGUGACAUUCCUGUCCCCGGUAAUGAGGGCCGUAGUACUGGAACUCUGAGCCAGACUGUGGAUCAUAGUAUGGGCCAGCUCAGCCUCCUCCACCACCUCCUUGAUGUUCUGCAGCUGCUGGUCAUUGGUCUUCCUCCUUGAUGUGGUGGCUGAGGGGGAAGACUGCUGGAGUGCACUUCCAGGAUUAGGUGGAGACCCUAUGGGAAGUACAGCUUGUUAAAAUGGAAACAACUUUGAGUUGACCCUGAUAUACAAAACAUAUAUGAAUUUGGUUAAGUGAGUGUUAGGGGUAUCUGAGAUAGGAAUCUACCUGUUUUGGCUUCUGUAUCAAAUGGAGCAGCAGCGUUAGGCUCAGCAGGAGCAGCCGAGCCCGGAGAAGGGAAGCAUGGCUCUUUGGAUCCUUGUUUGCUGGCUGGAACUUCCUCAAAGGGAAACUUGGUCACCUUAACAGAAUGGAUGACAAAGAAUAUUUAACAGUUGAUGAGGAAACAAUGCAACAUACUUAUGAACACACUGAUUAAUUAAUCUGGCAUAACCAAGCAUUCUAACCUUGCAGGAACAGUUUGGGGAAGGACCCUUUCUGUUCAAUGUAAAGUCAAACUAAUGUGUGUGUGUGGUGUUUAAAGCAAACCAAUGCCUUUGAAAUUCACUAAAACACAUUUAGUGAUCUCACAAGGUUGUCUUUAGAAAAUAUUUAAAAAAGAGUGGAAGCAGUUCUAGUUUCUUCCCAGGAGUCUUAAUACUUGGGUGAAUACGCCAGUGCUCUGUACCUCUUCACUGCCAUCUAUGCAGUCCAGUCUCUCCUGCAGCUCAGCAAAGGUGUUGCACUUCAGGCACUCGGCCCCCUCCUCAGGCACAGGGGCUAAUGGCUGCCCGAGUAGCGAUUGAGCAGGCUGGAUCUGAGAUGGACCUUCAUGCUGCUCUUGGCUCUCUGGCUCGGGCUGCACCUGCCGGAGCAGAAUUAUUUGUUGUUUAUUCAUUCUUUUUCUGCCGCUUUUCCUCACGAAGGUCGCGGGGGGUGCUGGAGCCUAUCCCAGCUGUCUUCGGAUGUGAGGCGGGGUACACCCUGGACUGGUCACCAGACAAUCACAGGGCACAUAUAGACAAACAACCAUUCACACUCACAUUCAUACCGAUGGACAAUUUGGAGUCACCAAUUAACCUAGCAUGUUUUUGGAAUGUGGGAGGAAACCGGAGUACCCGGAGAAAACCCACCCAUGCACAGGGAGAACAUGCAAACUCCACACAGAGAUGGCCGAGGGUGGAAUUGAACCCUGGUCUCCUAGCUACGUGCUAACCACUCGACCGCCGUGCCGCCUGAUGUCUUUUAUGUGGUCAUCUAUAUCUUUGGAGAUCACCUGAUUCUGAUACUGUACCUCUGAUGUUUUAGAUCGCAGCAAGGCAGGAACGAUGGGCACAAACUCCGGCGGACCCUCGUUGUCUGUCAGCUCCCUAUCUGAUACAGCGGCACCGUUGGGACCCACGUAGAUGACCGUGUCACAUGACUGCUCGCUGCUGGAGUACUCGUCCGGGUCGCUGGACAGGCGCAGCAGCGGGACAUCCGAACCGGGGUCACCGCGAUGGUGAAAAGCUCGCAGAUGGGUGGGGCGGCGCAUGCGACCUUCUUCACAGGAGCUCUCUCCUCCAGAGGAGCUGGAGGUGUACUGCUGGGGACGAAUGACGUGCCACAUGCUGUCCACUGUGGGAUAAAGGACGCGAGAUGCGAGCUGAAUGGUGGAGAGACUUUCCGAGAAGUCUCCAGGAGAGGCCGAGAUGUGAGCGAUCAUGGUGGUGCGGCAGUUGAUGUUGCCUAGCGACUCCCUUAGCAACAUGGUCAGCUUGCUAUCCCUUGAGAGCACAAAGACGAGACAAAUCAGAUGUGACGGCCAGGAUGACGUUGCCAAGGGCUGACAGAGAAAGACACAAAGGCGCGGAGCCGGGUGAAGAGUUUUCUCUGCCUUUGCCACUCGUUCCGCCUGUGAGUACGCCGACGUCACAGCUGCCAAGGUCCAGCAGAUGGAGCCGACUGCGACCUCCUGACACUGACAAGGUAGGAACGAUGAGGAAGGACAAAGUAAAACAGUCUGCAUGAGACUGAGGGGCUGUCCACACGGAAUCAUUUUCAGUAUUUUAUCAUUUCAGCCUCUCAUCCACAUUCUGGCGUUCUGUGGGGCCUGAAACAGGAUGUGGGAAAAUCUGAAAACGGCAGCUUUGACAAGCCAAUAUUUGAAUAUUUCGAGUACAGUACCUCAACCAUAAUUACAUCAUAAUGAACACCUAUCUGAUUAGAAUUUUUGACAACUGUCUUAGGGUACAGUUAGAUUGGGUUGUUGUAGUAAUGCUAUAAGGACAGUAUAUCCCUCAAAAGAAGUACCUUUAUCCUUAUCCUCACCAAAAUUGAAUUGGUUCUUUCAUCGUUUUGUCUGCUAAAUGUAUUUGCCCUACUUUUUAUAAUGUGAACACUAUCAUUAAAAUAACAGGCCUCGUGCUGGUACAGACCUUUUCAUAGUACGACUGUAGUAUACUGUAUGUUGUGGUUGAACGACAUGGUCUAUUUAUACAUUUUAUAACAUAAGAAGCACUCACUUCCACCCUUGCCUGCCUUCUCCAUGCGGUACUGGUAAAUGUGUAAUGUAAACAGCAUGUGGGAGUUCCUGUGGUCUUCUUCUGUGGCGUUGCUGGGACGUUGGCUGCUGUUGCGAGCCGCGAUCGCCGCAUCCAGGAACCAGGCUGCUUUCUCCGGUGUGGGAGCACGGAGUUCCGACUGGUUUUGGAGCUGCAGGAAAGACGGAUGAUUAGCCAGAAGGACAAAGCCACAAGAGGAAGAGAUGGGGUCCUCACACAGGUAGACUCCAGGUGACUGUCCAUCCUGCAGGCUUCCUGUGGCCACCUCUGACAACUUGCAGCAAUCUUAGCAGCAUUUACCUCAACUGCAGACACACGAACAGAGAAGCGCGCCCCUGUCUUCUCCCUCCUCUCAUUGAUGAGCUUAAAGAGCCAGGAGAUGGCACAGGGGAUUAUACCCAGUGUCUGAAGGGAGUCAUGGCGGCCGAUCAUGGUGUAGGAUUUGCCUGGUUUACACACACACACACACACACACAGACAGACAGGAAGGAAACGUCUUCAAAAACAACAGAAAAAAACCUGCAGGCGAAGUGUACAGAUUCUCCCUUGGGCCACAAAGUCACCACACACACAGAGAGAGCUAUUCACACACCUGCUGUGGCUGUCAAGAAGCUUGGGGUGUCCAAAGCAGAAGACACAUCCAUCUGCUCCAUUCACCACCGACUGAAUCACCUCAGCAACCGUCCCUGCACACACUUCCGCCUAGCAACAGGUACUACAACUAGCUAAGAAGUUAGACAGUUGUUGACGUUGUCUACCUGCGAUGCAUCAGGAGGGAAGGCGGCAUCGAAGGUAAACAUCUUCGGAGGCACCUGACUGGUCCCUGCUUUUUUCUGGGGGGUGGUGCCAGGCAUCUGAUUGGCCGACGGGUCCAUGAUGAUUAUUUGUUUCUUCCUGGGGUCCACUUUGAGGAAAGAACUGGACGCCGUAGCGUCCGACUGAGACACCGGACACACACGAACCAUCACUUUCACCUGAGGGAGACAAAGAGAAACCAUUUGAUUAUUCUCGGAGGGUCCUUGGCCUACUUCCACAGUGCACCGGAUCGAUAAGCGAGGCCAAGCGCCACCUCCACUUUCAGGCAGACACACUUUGUUGAUGAGAAUGCAGCAAGCUAAUGGACUCUUUGUUGUGGUUGGUGAAAAGAAGAAGAAACAUGGAACAAGGAGGGCUGACCACAACAGCAACUAAGGAUGCACUUCGCCAACAGCAAUCUGAUAUUCAAGCACAUGUUCAACGGUGACCAAGUACAUCUUACCUGGCAAAGAAAGAGGCAGCAGUGGAGCUGGUGGUCUGUGCCGUGGUGGUGGUGGUGGUGGUGGUCGCCAGACUGUGUGAAGGCUUUGACCACCAACAGUCACGAUGACCAUAAAUGAUCCCAAACAGUGUGUGAGGCCUCUCUAAUAAGCUAUAAGCCUUGACUUCACGCUGCUGAUAAGCAGGGAGGAGGAACGGUGUGAGGAUGGAUGUGAAGUUGGAGUGCACAGAUGCAAGAUAAACAUACAAAGACAUUGCAUCAGGUUGUGUGAAAAUGUGGACAUAAGGGGGCCAGGAGACUGACUGCUGAAUGAUGGAGAGGCAGUUGCCAUGGUAGCAGUGGACUUCAAGGCAUCAGGGGAACUUCCGCUGCCUGAGGCCGGGGAGCCCGUCCCAAAACCUGGAGAGCCGCCGAGAGACCCGGGAGAACCCGUGCCAAUCCCUGGUGAAAUGUUCCCCGGUGAUCCAGAGAGGGAGCCUGGUGAUGAGAUCCCUGAGCCAGGGGAUGGGGUGCCCGUGGAGCUGGGCAUGGAGCCAGCACCCUCUGGGGCGGGACGAGAGUUGGACCGGGUGGUUUCCUCAUAUGUCUUACGGUACCAAGUGUCCGGGAAAAAGGAGGCGGAUUUAGUGGGGGAUGUGUCGGGCAUCUGUGGGACAUUUAAAAGAGAAGACUUUAACAUAAAGUGG